GACGAACGCUGGCGGCGUGCUUAACACAUGCAAGUCGAGCGGUAAGGCCCUUUCGGGGGUACACGAGCGGCGGAACGGGUGAGUAACACGUGGGUGACCUGCCCUCAGCUCUGGGACUAAAGCCGUGGGGAAAACCGGGUCUAAAGUACUGGAUAUGACUCCAUGACGCAUGUUGUGGGGUGGAAAGCCUUGUGCGGCUGAGGAGUGGGGCCCGCGGCCUAUCAGCUUGUUGGUGGGGUGANGGCCUACCAAGGCGACGACGGGUA
rnacentral:rRNA from 1 species